GACUCGGUAGCUCAGCUGGUAGAGCACAUCACUUUUAAUGAUGGGGUCCUGGGUUCGAAUCCCAGCCGGGUCACAA
rnacentral:tRNA from 10 species